UGGCCUCGCAGCCCGGCCCAGUGAACCGGCCGCCGUCGCCACAUCGAAGGAGGCUGCCCGCCGCGCCCGACCCGGCGGCCGCUCGAGCCGGCGAGAAGCCGGCCUCGCAGAGCAGCGAGCACGU
rnacentral:SRP_RNA from 15 species